rnacentral:tRNA from 1 species
GCCCGCCUAGCUCAAUUGGAUAGAGCGUCAGACUCUUAGGAGUGCGGGCACGCACGUGCUGCGAUCUGAAGGCUGCGAGUUCGACCCUCGCGGUGGGCU